AGGGCUUUAGUUUAAUUAAAAUAUCUGAUUUGCAUUUAGAAGAUGCGGAGUAACGUCUGUAAGUCCUA
ensembl:Mt_tRNA